GUGCUUGCUUCGGCAGCACAUACACUAAAACUGGACGACACAGAGAAGACUAGCAUGGCCCCUAAGCAUGGAUGACAGGCAAAUUCGGAAAGUGUUCCAUACUUUU
ensembl:snRNA U6 U6 spliceosomal RNA